rnacentral:lncRNA from 1 species
CGAGCCGCAACCUUUGAGGGAAAGAGGAAGUGCUCGGGCGUCGCAGGGCCGGAGGCACGGGGAUAGAAGGAGCACCAUGUCCGCGGAAGUCCCCGAGGCAGCGUCGGCGGAGGAGCAAAAAGAAAUGGAAGAUAAAGUAACUAGUCCAGAGAAAGCUGAAGAAGCAAAGUUAAAAGCAAGGUAUCCUCAUUUGGGACAAAAGCCUGGUGGUUCUGACUUUUUAAGGAAAAGAUUGCAGAAAGGGCAAAAGUAUUUUGAUUCUGGGGAUUACAACAUGGCAAAAGCAAAGAUGAAGAACAAGCAGCUUCCUGCUGCAGCCCCGGAUAAGACAGAGGUCACUGGUGACCACAUUCCCACUCCACAGGACCUCCCUCAGCGGAAACCAUCCCUGGUUGCUAGCAAGCUGGCUGGCUGAUUAAAAGAGCUGAACUGCAUGAGUCUUCUAAUGUCCUUUAUUUCUCCUUACUACGUUACUUACCCACUUCUGUUUCCUUUCACUCACUCUCAUUUGAGACUGACAGCUUUGCAGGUAGUGGUAGUGUGUGCUACUCUUGUAAGGGAGCAUCCAUGUGUAGAGGUUUUGGUUAGUUUCACAGUGCACUGAUGCAGAGGACAUGGAACAGCAACAUAAGUAAAUGACGUGACAAUAAUUGUACAUUACCUAGCUGGUGUAGGGCUGGCUCCAGCAAGUAGCAAGCAAGUUUUACCGCUUUAAUGCUCUGGCUUUCUUUAUUCUCUCCUACUUGCAGCUUUGUAUGUCACCUUAUUUAAUAGAACCUCUGUUGUGUUGAUUUCUUCUGCAUCUUCCUUUUGAAUUUUGUAAGACAGAAGUUUAAGACCACAAGUUGGAAGACAAGACACAUAAUCCAAACACAAGUAAAUGGGCUGCAAAAGAUUUGAUGGCUUGGACUUGACGGCCUUAAACCUGCUGUUCCAGCUUUAACAAGAGCAUCUUAUCUGGGCGAUAUUUGCCCGCUCUGGUGUGACUUGUGUGACUCCAGUGCUUACCAGCUGUCACUGAAGCUAGUGUUCUUCCUCGGUUCUGCAGUGUGUGGGGACAGCUUUCUCUGUUGAAGAUGUGAAUGGGCGUGCAUGUGCACUGACUAUUGCAUUCACUUUUGUGCCAUUUUUGUAAAUACAAUAGUUUUGCACAACCUUUUACAAAUGUCUGUAUUAAUUUCACCAUAUUAGAAAGUAGAUAAUGUGCCAACCAGAAGCACAAGAAUUCCUACACAAAUUUGCCUGCCAUUACUGCUUUUUUAUAAGAAUAGUUUACAAUCUUGAGCUUAUUAGAAUACCAAACUGAAAUAUACUCAGCCUGCUACAGAGUUAAGUUUUUUCAUUUGUUACUAAUAUUCAUGACUUUCAGUGGCCUUGUACAAAUAUGAUAUGUUGCUUAGGCAUAUCUUUUGUUCUAUGCAGAACAUUUCAUUUUGACUUUUACAAAAAAAUUACAAUUCAUAUAAUUUAUAUAGACUUUCUUAGUGUAGAAACUUUUUACUUCCACAUUCAGCUUUGGGCAUACUAAAGUAAAACUUUCGUUCUCUGUCUUCUGUUCUCUUCUCAGCCCCCGUCUGCUCUUUGCUUCUGUGACUCGUAUUGGGUUAUCUCAUUUAUAUAAAAGCCUAUGUUUAAAAUUAAAUAAAAGAAUUUUUGUGAGGGUUUUUUGUUAUACUGAGAAUCAAACCACUGUCUCACAUGUGCUUAGUAAGCACUGUACCACAGAACUAUUCUUAUUUCUAAAGGAACUUUAUGAUGAAGCAAGGAGUUGAAAAGAGUUUUCUAGAAUAAGCUGAAUUCUGUUAAAUAAUUUUAAAUAAUUAGGAUGAACUAGGAGAAUAGGGCUAAUAAUUACAGUGAUUUGUGUGAUAGGUAAAACAUGCAUAUUAAAAUAUUUAGGUAUCUUCUAUAAUGUCAUUUUAAACAUUAGCAGACUUUAUUCAGACACACUUAUUAUUCGAGCUCUUCCCCCAGGAUGUCAGGCUGUAGCAUAUUGAACUGUAGCAGCCUGAGCUGAUGAGUUCUUCCUCUUCACCUUGGGCUAGGGUGAGGCCUACUCCCCUAUGGAAUCCAGGCAUCAUUUGUAUUAUGACUACAUUUGUGCACCUGCUUUCCUAUGGCUCCGUACUAGUGAUUAGUCCUGCUCCACUCAACCUGAGGCAGAAAAGCAGCAUACUUUACACUCCACAUUGGUAAUUUUACAGCUCAGUUCUAUAUAAAUGUAUUUGUAAUGAGCAAAUGAGUUAUUCCAUAAUAUGUGCAAUUCCUCAUAAGAUUGCUAGUCUUUUCCCCCGUGGAGAUUUGUAAGCCCAGCCCCAUUGAGUUCAGAUAGAUGACUCUGAGGUAAGAGUGACCGUGCUCUUCCUCAACAGCAGACUUACAGUCUGACAUGAGUAACACCUGCUUGCAUUUUGAUUUGUAAAAGGACACUGAUGUUUAACCUACCUCAAGACUUGAGGAUCUGUGAAGUACUAAGUGCCCCAAAUAUUACUAUCUUUUCAAAAAUAGAUUUCCUCACUAAACCAACCUGCCUUCUAUAAAGUAGCAGUGCUUAAAAUCUCAGGAUUUUCCACUAGGAAAGACCUGUUAAGGAUUUGUAUGUAUCGCUGCAUGGCUUCCAUUGGUGCUUGAGAGAGGUUUUACAUUUUUCUGGUUUUUGUUCUACUUCAAAGCUCAAUUGUAGAUACUUUUGCAGGCUCUUUGGUCAUUUAGUAGAUUUUGAUGAAAUGGGCUUAAUUUCCGUGUCAAAGCUGUGCCUGAGGAAUGGCUAAUUUUAAUGUUAGAGUAACUUGAGGUUGAGGAAAAUACUAAAGGCCAACUGGCUAAAGCCUAAAUCUGUUUUGUUCAGUAGCUCAUAAACAUCUGAAGGCUAUGUCUGACUAACACUUGCACCUCAUGUCUAGUUGGAAUAGCAUUUGGAUGGUUUGGAGGGAACAUGUUUGCAGUUCUACAGGUUGUUAGAGAAUCUUGUACUGCUGGUCUGAAGGUAUGUCUAAAAAGUUCAAGGCAGUCAUGACAAGGCCUCUACUUGUUAUUACUUCCACAGUUAGAAUUAGUUGCUCUUUUUACUUGAUGUAACCAAAGUAUACCUCUGAAUAUGUUUCGCUAUUCAUUACUAAGUCAGACUUGUAUUCUUGAUCUGGAUAUCACAAAGUCUUAUCAAAGCUGAAAUAUCAACCCAAACUGUAAACUUAGUGAUUGCCGGUCAGAAGCAGGUAGUCUGUGAGAAG